UACGGAGGGUGCAAGCGUUAAUCGGAAUUACUGGGCGUAAAGCGCACGUAGGUGGUUUUCUAAGUCAGCUGUGAAAUCCCCGGGCUCAACCUGGGAACUGCAUUUGUGACUGCAUAGCUAGAGUACGGUAGAGGGGGAUGGAAUUCCGCGUGUAGCAGUGAAAUGCGUAGAUAUGCGGAGGAACACCGAUGGCGAAGGCAAUCCCCUGGACCUGUACUGACGCUCAUGCACGAAAGCGUGGGGAGCAAAUAGG
rnacentral:rRNA from 1 species